rnacentral:rRNA from 1 species
AGAGUUUGAUCAUGGCUCAGGAUGAACGCUAGCGGCAGGCCUAAUACAUGCAAGUCGUACGGCAGCGCGGGCAGCAAUGCCCGGCGGCGAGUGGCGGAUGGGUGCGUAACGCGUAUGCAACCUGCCCCUUACAGGGGGAUAGCCCGGGGAAACCCGGAUCAAUACCCCAUGGCAACCAAUGGCGGCAUCGCCGUUGGUUUAAAGGCUCCGGCCGGUAAGGGAUGGGCAUGCGUGCCAUUAGCUUGUUGGCGGUGUAACGGACCACCAAGGCUACGAUGGCUAGGGGGUCUGAGAGGAUGGUCCCCCACACUGGCACUGAGAUACGGGCCAGACUCCUACGGGAGGCAGCAGUAGGGAAUAUUGGUCAAUGGGCGGAAGCCUGAACCAGCCAUGCCGCGUGCAGGAAGACGGCCUUCUGGGUUGUAAACUGCUUUUAUACGGGAAGAAAACGCCCAUGCGCGGGCAAUUGACGGUACCGUAGGAAUAAGCACCGGCUAACUCCGUGCCAGCAGCCGCGGUAAUAC